UGGAAAUAUCUAAAGUUUAAAUUAGUUAGUUAGUUGGGUGAGGGUUUAUGGCGCUGGGUCCGCGUAAGGACAUAUUACGCCAAGCACAUAUAGGUCGUUUCUCUGACGGGGCGAAACAAGCCCUCCCACAGGGAGCCCACUCCUGCAGGAGGGGUCAACCGGAUGGUGAAGGAUGGGGUUCAACGGGCCGGGCCCGGACCCCUCCUGAAAAACUGGAGGCGCGAGACCCGGUUCGAACCCGGACCUCCAGGGUGUCAAGCGGUAGCGUUACCACUCGGCCAUCCGGCCGACAUAAGAUCAUUUAAUGGCAUACUGAUUGCCAUUGAAAAUAACUACAUUGCUUCCUUAUGUCACAUUUCUAAGCAAUUACUAAAUUUAGAAUUAAAUAGUAAAUAUCAGUUUAUCUAAAUAUUGUUAAUCUCCGAAUCGGAUUAAAUUAAAAAAAAAAAAAAAACAGCAAUUUAAUUCUUAAUUCGCACUCUGAAUUGAGUAACUGUUACAUUAUUAUAUUGUUUAUAUACUUACAACACACUUUUUCAUAAUGAC
rnacentral:lncRNA from 1 species